UUACCGGGCGCAUCUGCGACCU
rnacentral:miRNA from 1 species